rnacentral:lncRNA from 1 species
UCAAACUGAUUCCUAUAUGUUUGGUGUCAUCUUUCCAGCACAUAAACCUUGAUGAGCAAGAAGCACGAGCACUGGAGGCAAGGGCUACAACUUUUCUGUUCUCUGCAUUCAAGAUAGCACAACACUAGAAAUGUCCAUGCCAUGUUAUGUAUUGCAUGUCUCUUGUGUAUCUUCUGCUGCUCCAGAUUGAUAAUGUACUCGACAUUAGUGAGUGAGAUGGUCCAGACUCUAGAGUGACAUGUACUCAAAUAUUUGUGCCUGAGAUGGUUUCACAUGUACUCAGAUCUUUAUGCCUGGGAUGGUCUAACUAGACGUGUGCUCAACUAUUUAUGUGUGGGAUGGUCCAGUUUCACAUCUACUCAGAUCUUCAUGCCUAGGAUGGUCUAACUUGACGUGUGCUCAACUAUUUGUCUGGGAUGGUUCAGUUUGACAUACACUUGAAUGAGAUGGCAUAAAUUUAAUGUGUUUACAAAUAUUGUGAUGGAUAUUGGCAAAAAAAUUAGGGGCCAAUAUGUUCAAUUUUUGCUUGUAGAAGCCACUAUUUGUACUCAAGUAUACAUGCAACAGAUAUGUGCAAAGAUGGGGCCUCAACGUUGAGAGGAUUUGAAAAUUAGUCUUAUUUACCGAGGACAAAACGAUUAAAUAUGAGAAAGUUGAGGUGAUUACUGUAAAAAAUGUGUUUUAUAUCUACAUAUUAGCAGGGGGUUUUCCAUAAAAUGUCCAUGAAGUGGACUGGGAUGUCUCCACUAGAAUAUGGGCCAUCCAUCUUCAAUCUGACAGUCCAGGAUGGAUUUUUCUAUUCUUCUACCACAAGGCUGUUUUCUAUUGUAGUUGCUCCCAUUAGAGAGGGCGCCUGUGAGAAUUGAGUGGGAAACCCACAUGCGUGAAGAAACAUGAGGCAGACAGCGCAUGGUCCAUGUCAGAAGGCUACAGUGGCAGAAUCAGCAAAAAGUGACAGGAUCUAUAGGUGCAGAAAGAAUACUGAAGUCAAAAACCUCAUUUGAACGGUACGCAUGCUAAAAAUCUUCUGCCACAAGUCAGAUGCAGUGCAUGUGAUCCUCUCAGCUGCACAUAUCACGAAGCAAAUGGACGGUGUUGAUAGCAGGUACCGGGUAGCUCGUCCUAGCAAAGAACUUACUGUGAAGUCCUUGAGGUCUUUAUUAAUUGAAUUAAUUUUAAAGUGUCUGCACCACACUUGAAAUUGGCCAGGUUUUUUUCGUAUUAACAUAUAGAAGACGUCGUAACUUUUACUCUUCUACAUUUUCUGAGCAUCAAGGUGCAUACAUUAUUUAUAUAUGUAUGCAAUAUUUUUUAAGGAAUGUAUUGAUCCUUCCCCCUUCGACAAUUCUCUUUGAAACAUUGCUUUCCAAUAUUUCCUUGCAAUUGCAUGUAGAGGUGGUCUAACCCCCAUCCUAUUAUAUGUUAGAAGACACUGUAGUGGUGCAUGACAUUUGUAAGUUUUCUUACUUUCUAAAGAUAAAUAUUUAACUCUAUAUGUUUUUGCAGGAAACCUCUCUAUAUAUUACUAUACUUUGAAUAUAAUUAACAUCAUUCUCUAAAGAAGCAUAUCUGAUGCUAUUACAUCUGGUAGCCGAGACAUAAUCAUGAUGGCUAGCUUUCAUGGCCUUUUAUUCACAAGAAGGAAUAAAGUCCUUCAUCCCGGUAAUCUCCGCCAUGGGAAUACUUAUAUUAGUUAAAGGGAAAUUUUCAUAAUGGCAAUACAUACACUAAUUAAUGGUAUUCUUAUCCGAUGGAUGAUUUUUGUGUAAUCCUUUGAUGCAUGUGCCUUUUCAGGCUAGAGUAACCACACAUUACAUCUUCCCUUUGACUACACUUCAAUCUGAAUUUAGGGAUGAUGUGAACGACUACUUUUUCAGUUAUUUAAGACUCCACUUCUCCUGUAAUCAACAAACGAAUUAGUUGCUUUUGGGGUCCUUAGUGUGUGGAAUUGAUUUGGAUGUUUAAAUGUGUAUCUACCGAAUAUGAAGUAUAAAUUUGUGAUUAUCAUCAUGGUAUAUCUAAGUCAUAAAUCUACUGAUUGGGUGUGUACAUAUUUACUUGACAGUAUAUAGACCAUUGUCAAUCUGCAAAACUCGCUUCUAUUUAUUAUGCACAAUAGUUAAAAGGGCCCUUGAUAGAUGAUAUUUGAAAAAUACAUUACUAUAUUGUUGCCUACAGGUCUGAAUUCCAACUGUUCGAAAUAUUUAGAAUACUUUAGGGAAAACGGAUUAUUCAGUUAGAUAACAAUUUUGUUUUAUACUGAAGAAAUCGUUAUAUGUAGCCAAUCUUUUGUACAACAUAGUACUCUAGAUAGCAAUCUUUAUUUUUGCAUAGGCUGCGACAUUAUUACAACCUAACAGACAUAUCUACCAUGAUAUAUUAUAAACUAUUAAACAUAUGGUCUAAAGAAAUACGAGAAAAAUUUAUGCUAUGUGAAAUAUUAAGGAAAUAUUUAAUGUUAGACAAGAUUACAUAAUCAGAAAUAUAUAUACAUUGCCAUUAAAUUUACUUAUUGAAACCACUGUUUGUGCUGAAGCUUCAGAAAAACGUAGCAAAAAACUUCUAUGCCUAUGGGUGAUGACAUAUAUUCUAAAUUAUUCAUAUAGUACCCGUGAAGCCUUUAGAAUGUCCAUGCAUAUGUGUAUAACACAAUUAUGUCUAGCGGCCAGUUUGGUCCAAACUAUUGAUGGAGCUGAAAAUGUUUUUUUGUCUUGCAGAUUCUACUUGAGUAUAGACUUAUGUAGAUUUGUAGGUAACUGAUUUAUCAAUAUGUAUGUAUCAUUCUUAUAUAAUAGAAAGAUAUCUAUAGGUUAAUGGAAAUUAUAAAUGAAGAUCAUUUGUGUUUAUGUAUAAGAUAUAAAUAAAUCAUGUUUGAUUUUCAGAAGAGUAUUGAUUAAACUCAUUUGGGGUAUAGUUUCCUAUCUGCAAAUGGACAUGUUUUCAAAUGUGUUGUAAUCAUUCUUCUAUUAUUCCCAUACUAGAUUUGGAUAACUAGAGUACUGGAAUUUUGAUUUCUCUUCACUUCGUAUAGCACAUAGUAUGUCAAUGUUGUCACUACGUAUAACACAUAGUAUGUCAAUGUUGUCACAUAAUUAUUUUUUCUAAAUGAAUGUUGUUUUUGUUGGUUAUAUUGUCCAACUAAAACAAUAUAUCAGACCAAGCUUCUGUUUGGUAUAUAAUUUUGACUUAAUAACUAAAAAAUCCCAUAUUUUCAAUCCCCACAGAACACUAUACUAAUGUGCAAAAGUAAAUGUUCCUUGAUGUAAUGAUUUCUUGAUGUUCAAUUACAUACCAAUAACACAUACGUAAAAAAAAUCUAGCGGCGCAACUGUGCGGUUAACACUGCUAGUUCAAGCCAAGGUGACGAUGGACGCGCUGGGAACUGAAACUGAAGAUUUCUCUUUGACUCUUUAUUGACCGCUGGAUCUAGGUUGGAGGGCAGAUAAGUCCCCAGAGUCAUUUCAUUUCAACCCGAGCCAUUCUCAGAUCUUUCUCUCUCAAAAAAAGAAAAAA